CUACAUGUUACAAUACAUAGAAGCAGAUUAGUGACAUUUCUUCCCCGUUUGUCCAUAUUUUUUUGCCCUGCAGAAGAUGUGUCGGCAACCCUAUUAAUUUGGUUCCCCAGCCUAGCCGAAAAUAGGAAAACAACAAUGCAUCAUCGCAUUACUGCAACUGGACUUUUUUUAUGGAACACCAAGAAAG